UCGUCGCAAGGCGGGGUUUCGUG
rnacentral:piRNA from 1 species